CCAAGGAGUCUAACAUGUGCGCAAGUCAUUGGGUUUUAAAACCUAAAGGCGAAACAAAAGUAAACUGAAUGAAAAAAGUUUUUAACUUUUUUUUAUUUUUAAAGGGAGGAUAGCUACCUAAUUUUUUUUUUAAAAAGGAGCUCGCACUCCCGGGGCGUCUGUUACUCAUUGCGAGUUAAGGCGCACCAAGAGCGUACACGUUGGAACCCGAAAGAUGGCGAACUAUGCAAGGCCAGGAUGAAGCCAGGGGAAACCCUGGUGGAGGUCCGUAGCGAUUCUGACGUGCAAAUCGAUCGUCAGAGUUUUGUAUAGGGGCGAAAGACUAAUCGAGUCAUCUAGUAGCUGGUUCCCUCCGAAGUUUCCCUCAGGAUAGCUGGUGCUAAUGAUGACAAGAGUCUCAUCUGGUAAAGCGAAUGAUUAGAGGGCUUGGGGCCGAAACGACCUCAACCUAUUCUCAAACUUUAAAUGGAUGAGAGCCUUGGCUUGCUUAAAUGCUUGAAGCCAGGGACUUGGAUCAAAGUACCAAGUGGGCCAAUUUU
rnacentral:rRNA from 1 species